rnacentral:lncRNA from 1 species
GCCGAGUCGGCGUUGCGGGCGGCGGGGUUCUGCUCCGGAAAAACACUGCUGAAGAAUGCUGAUGUGGCAGUGAAACAGCCCAAAAGGAAGAGGAAGCUGAGUAUGGAUUCCAAAGAGCACUGAAUCUGGAAGGCUGCCUGGCCCUGCAGUGGCUGCACAGGACCCCUGGUCUUGGGAGCAGUUCUUGAAAGAGGAGGCGGCUGCAGCAGCACCCAUGGAGCUGUUUUCCAAGGUGUGUGGUUACUGUCUGAUGAUUGUUUAAGCUGCUAUGAUUUUUGGACCAAUGCCAGUUCCUCUGACAUCCAUCCAGUAAGGUGGAGUGAAAGGAGCAAACAUGAACUGCACAUCCCUGAAGCACGGGCCAGUGCCUGAAGACUUUCGGAUUGCAGUGAAGCUGGAACCCGUCGACAAGAAGAACCCCUCCUUGGUGUGUGUGGCAACCGUGGCAGAUCUUGUUUGGAGACCGCUUGCUAGUGGAUUUCCACAAUUGGGAUGAUAGUUUCCAUGACUGGUGUGAUGGGAAUAGUCCUUAUGUCCAGCCAGUUAGUUGAUGUUGGGAGCAAGAAAGGGCUCUGACAGCACCACAGUGUGAGCAGGCCAGCCGGCUGGGUUUUCCUUGAAGUCAUCUCUGUGUGAGUGGCAAUGCCUAUUCUUAUUUUUGUUUAUGCAAAUUACAUUUCAGUACAAAGUGUGCGAUGAAGAGACUGCAAGAUUCUGUUGACGACCCAUAUGACCCAGUUGUCUGAAAUAUGCACAUCUUUCCCCAUAAUGAAAAUGGGCUGUGUUUAUAAAGACCUAUUAGGCAGCUGUUUAAAAAAAUGGCAAUUUUUUUUUUACCCAAUGAAAUGAGUACAAUCAUUGUGAACUGACAUUUAAAACUACCUCGUUCCACCUCUGUAAUUUAACUUAUAACUAAUGUUAAUUCUUUAACUGACCAUAGAUUUUUAAAAUAUACUUAACUUUGGAGUUAAAUGUAAGAAAUGCAGAAACCCUAAGAAGUGAGAAUUAACUCAACAAUGGGAGCCCAGACUUAUAAGACCCCUUCACCAAGCCAACUUAGGGGUUCAGCUAAACACUGAAAAAGGACUCUUUCUUGUUACUUGUUUCCUCAUUACAGAAAUGGAAUCUCUCUCCAUUUAUUUAGUUCUUUGCUUUUUUGUCUUGUUUUGUUUCUUUUCUUUUCUUUUUUUUAAGUGCCACACCCUCAGCAUAUGGAAGUUCUCAGGCUAAGGGUGGCCGAAUCGGAACAACCGCUACUGGCCUACACCACAGCCACGGCAACAUGGGAUCUGAGCCACAUCUGCAGCCUACCACAGCUCAUGGUAAUACUGGAUUGUUAACCUACUGAGCGAGGCCAGGGAUCAAACCCACAUCCUCAUGGGUACUAGUUGGAUUCAUUUCUCUUGCACCACAAUGGGAACUCCCUAUUUAGUUCUUUGAUUUAUUUCAGCAACAUUUUGUAGUUUUCCUCAUAUAGAGCUUAUACAUGUUUUGUUAGAUUUUAUUAUUUUGGGUGCUAAUGUAUAUUGUAUUGCGUUUUUACUUUUUAAAUUUCACUUAUUGAUUGCUGGUAGUAGGAAAGCAGUUGAUUUUUAUAUACUAACCUUGUAUCCUGCAACCUGGCUAUAAUUGCUUUUUGAUUCUAGGGGUUUUUUGUCAAUGCUUUUGGGUAUUCUACACACCUUUGAACAAAGUUUUAUUUUUUCUUCCCAGUCAGUAUGUCUUUUGUUUCCUUUUCCUGUCAUAUUGUAUUAGCUACUGUGUAUCACACUAUUUUCAUCAUUGUAGAUUUGUAGUCAGUUUUAAAAUCUAGAAGUGUGAGACCUCCAACUUUGUUCUUCUUUUUCAAGAUUAUUUUGACUGUUUUUGGCCCCUUGCAGUUCUUUAUGAAUUUGAAGAUUGGCUUUUCCAUUUUUGGAGAAAUUACUUUGGAAUUUUGAUAAGGGUUACUUUGAAUGUAGAUUGCUUUAAGGAGUAUCACCAUCUUAACAAUAUUAAGUUUUCUAACCCAUGAACAUGGGAUGUCUUUUCAUUUACUUAGGUCUUCUUUGAUUUAUGGCAGCAGUGUUUUUUUAUUUUCAGUGUACAAGUCUUUUGCCUCCUUAGUUCAAUUUAUUCCUAGAUAUUUUAUUUCUUUUGAUACUAUUGUAAAUGAAAUUAUUUAUUUUUGCAAUUUUUUGUUUCUGGCAUAGAAAAAUGCAAAUGAUUUUAAACCCUGCAGCUUUGAUGAGUUUAUUAGCUCUUAUAACUUUUCUGUGUGGAGUCUAUGGGAUUUUUUUUCAUAUAGCAUUGUGUAGUCUGUCAAAAGAAUGACAUUUCAAAAUAUUCAUAUUUCUAAUUUGAGUGUCUUUAAUUUUGUUUCUUGCCUAAUUUUUCUGGUUGGGACUUCUAGUACAAUGUUGAAUGUAGUGGCAAAAGUGGGUAUUCUUGUCUUUUUCCUAAUCUUAGAGUAGAAAGAUUUCAGUCUCUCAUUAUUGAGUAUGAUGCUAGCUUUUGGUUUUUCAUAAAUUCCCUGUAUUAUGUUAAGAAAGCUUCCUUCUUAUUCCUAGAUUUCUGAGUGUUUUUAUCAUGAAAGGAUGUUGAAUUUUGUCCAGUGCUUUUUCUGCAUCUACCAGGAAGAUCAUGUGGAAGUUUUCCUCCUUUGUUUCAUGGUGUAUAAUACUUUUAAUGUGUUGCUGAGUUCAGUUUGCUACUGUUGUUUUGAGGAUUUUUGUAUCUACAUGCCUAAGGGAUAUUGGUGUGUAGUUUUCUUAUCACCUCUUUGUCUGGUAGGCCCUGAUUGUGGCUUUCAUUGAAUCCAAGGAAGCUUCCCAUUUGAUUUGCUGAUAUGUCAGAUGAAACUUCAAGUAGAUCAGCCUUUCAAUAAUUGAGGUAUGACCAACAGAGUGGAGUGUAAUGAAAAUAUAUGCAGAGGAACUGUGAGUAGAAAUUGGGCAAAGGCAAUAAACAAAAUUACUUAAAGCUCAUGAUGAGUUAUAAUCAUGCUGGCCUUUUGCUUUGUGAAAAAACACAACUGCACAAAGAUGUGAGUCCCUAUUAAUAGCACAAGAGAGGAUAGGCUUGAGGCCUGGUUGUAGAAGGAGCCCUGAGGCAGGUAAUAGAUACUGUGCACCCAGAUAGUUCACAGAUGGGAAUUACACAUGAGAUGGUAAAGGAAAAACAAAAAAAUAAAAAAAAAAA